UCUAAAUUGAACGUAGUUACAUUAAAAUGCAACCGUAGUUUGUUAGGUAACCAGCUGUUAUCUUUGUAUUAAUAUCACGUUUUAUCUUUUAUUUCAUGCCGGAGGUAAGGAAAUAAGUACAGAGCCAAAAUGAAGUGUGUCAAUAGGAUGUUUUGCACAAUAUUUAGUCGUUGUCCAGAAAUUGGUCAUAAGCCACCGCCAUGGCACAGACAGCAUACAUCACAUUGCCAACGCCAUCUUGCCGUCACAGUCUUGCCAUCAGCAUCACCAUGGUCCAACGGAUCUGUCCAUCAUAAGCAAUGAUUCUAUCAUUGCCCAUCAAUUUAUUUUACUUGUCAAGACCGUCUGAUGACAAGGGACACCAUUCUUGUAGAGAGCUUUGCUGUUGUCCAGAUUUCCAGAAUGUACUGAACUGUUGCAACCUUCAUUCCAUCAAAAGUCUCCUGACAUGUCUCCGUCUCUUGAAACAGCAGGAGGCUUUUUCUUUUUUGAAGCAAUCAAAAGUGGCGGCGAAAUCUGUGUGCAGGUGGUGGUCAAACAUGCAACUACGAGUGGACAUCCUUCGCUGGCUCCUUUGAUUUGUUGGCAGUUGACAGAGUUUAAUGGAUUGACGCAGAGUCUUCUCUGUCAACCUGAAGAAGUCGGCACGUCCAGCAGCUUCAUCAGUUCAUCUAACAGUUGUAGGUGGCAGGUUCCACCACUGUACAGGAUCACAAAGCAGUAAACAUCGCCGCAGUGUCCAUCUGUUUUGUUUGGAAAAUGUCGAGUCUGGGAGGACUUACUGCUACUCCAGAACCUGCGAUAAGACUUCGUUGACUGGCCGUCCUGAAUUUUUAAAAAAUUACUUGUUAUCUCUUGUUAUUUGAUUUGAAAUUAUCCCGCAAAAUGGCAAUGUUGUCAACAAAACAAGAUAAGACGUAGAAUGACAUUUUAUCAGACUGUUUUUGUUUGUCAUUCAAAUAAAAUGAGAAAAAUACAGCUGGACGCUUGUUGACCAGUAGAGAUGUGAAGUCAAUAGCAGUGACCCGAGGGGUAGUUGCGCAGUGGCAAUGGAAGCUCGGGGGGUGAGUUCCAGCGUCUGCUUCACCGACAAAGGCCCCAGUACAUAAACACGUGCUCCUUAAAAACAACUGUAUCAAAAAUGUAUUUUAAGCUUAUUUCACAAUUAAAAUCAUAUUCAGUUAUUAAUCUGUUUUCAUACAUUUUAACUAAUCUAAUAAAACGUUUUCAAUGUAAUUGAAGUUGUAAACAUUUUUUAGGUCACAAUGUUUUUAAAACAAAGUGACAACAUGAGCCAAGAUACAAAUAAAAGUUCAGAUUAAUUGACUCAUUAACCUCUAUUGUAUCUUGAUGAAACACACUGAAGGUUUGAGU